UACGGAGGGUGCAAGCGUUGUCCGGAUUUAUUGGGUUUAAAGGGUGCGUAGGCGGCUCUUUAAGUCAGUGGUGAAAUACUGCAGCUCAACUGUAGCAUUGCCAUUGAUACUGAAGAGCUUGAGUACAGAUGAGGUAGGCGGAAUUUAUGGUGUAGCGGUGAAAUGCAUAGAUACCAUAAAGAACACCUAUUGCGAAGGCAGCUUAC
rnacentral:rRNA from 1 species